CUUGACAUGUCAGGAAGUCCGGAGAGAUCUGGAUGUGCCCGAAAGGGAGCCUGAACACAGGUGCUGCAUGGCUGUCGUCAGCUCGUGUCGUGAGAUGUUGGGUUAAGUCCCGCAACGAGCGCAACCCUUGUCAUUAGUUGCUACGAAAGGGCACUCUAAUGAGACUGCCGGUGACAAACCGGAGGAAGGUGGGGAUGACGUCAAGUCCUCAUGGCCCUUAUGGGUAG
rnacentral:rRNA from 1 species